ensembl:lncRNA
UCACAAAUGACAUGAUUUCAUGUUUUUUAUUAAUACUCAACACUUUGUUUUGUACAAAGAGACAGAAGAAGAAUAUUUCUUAGCACUUAUUUUCACAUCGACUGUGUUUAAUUAUCCUCUUUUUAAAUAUUAUUAAAUAUUUAAUCAAAUUUUUUAUUAUUCUUUAACACAUGUCAUUUCUUCCCAUACAAAAAUUAAAGAGUGACUGAAAUGUUUAGUCAUAUAUACAUUUUCACAAUCUGUACAGUUCUAGAAAUGGUUGUGUUAUAAUUUUCUCUUGGAAACACGUGAAAUAAAGGGUUGCCAAAGAAGACAAAUUAUAACUUGUAAAAAUGUAGUAGAGAGUCAUGAUGUUGUGCUUAUGUAAUAGCCACUCAUGUCAUUACCAUUAGUUGUGUAACAAAAACAAGUGUGUAUGCCGGUCUUUUACCAAAUUAAAGUGAAAGGAAAUUCAUCAACUUGCUGUAAAAAUAGUACUACUUUAGGUGUGCAUCUUUGAUUUGAAGGUUUGUACUUUCAGCCAUCUUGUACACUUUUAUUAAAAGUCUGCUAGAGGGAGGUAAGUUAUUUACAUACAGCACUACAAUACAGAACAUCAGUCAACAGUUCUCUCUUUAGCGCUUUCUUUUCCACACACACACACACACACACACACACACACACACACACACACACACACACACACACACACACACACACACACACACACACACACACACACACACACACACACACACACACACACACACACACACACACACACACACGUAAUCAAGCGCAUGUACUGAGGCACAUACAACAACAGAAAGAAAGAAAGAAAGAGAGAAAGAAAGAAAGAGAGAAAGAAAGAAAGAGAGAGAGAGAGAAAGAGGAAAGCAACUUACUGAAGAAAGAGAGGUUGUAGGGAAAAAACAAGCAAAAACAUUGAAAAUCAAAGCUGGUUCAUCACUUCAUAAAAACGUUAUACCAAUACCUUCACCUCAUUCCCAGUCAUUUAAUAACACCAAUACCUUCACCUCAUUCACAGGCAUUUAAUAACACCAAUACCUUCACCUCAUUCCCAGGCAUUUAAUAACACCAAUACCUUCACCUCAUUCACAGGCAUUUAAUAACACCAAUACCUUCACCUCAUUCACAGGCAUUUAAUAACACCAAUACAUUC